GCCCCGUCCCCAUUGUUUGUGCUUCUUUCAAAAUAUGGCAAAGGUUCAGGUGAACAAUGUAGUGGUGCUGGACAACCCGUCUCCCUUCUACAACCCCUUCCAGUUCGAGAUCACCUUCGAGUGCAUCGAGGACCUGUCUGAAGACCUGGAAUGGAAAAUUAUCUAUGUGGGCUCUGCAGAAAGUGAAGAAUACGAUCAAGUUUUAGACUCUGUUUUAGUGGGCCCUGUUCCUGCGGGAAGGCAUAUGUUUGUAUUUCAGGCAGAUGCACCUAAUCCAGGACUCAUUCCAGAUGCAGAUGCCGUAGGUGUAACAGUUGUGCUAAUUACAUGCACCUAUCGAGGUCAAGAAUUUAUUAGAGUUGGCUAUUAUGUAAAUAACGAAUAUACUGAGAUAGAAUUAAGGGAAAAUCCACCAGUAAAACCAGACUUUUCUAAGCUUCAAAGGAACAUUUUGGCAUCUAAUCCCAGAGUCACAAGAUUCCACAUUAACUGGGAAGAUAACACAGAAAAACUGGAAGAUACAGAGAGCAGUAAUCCAAAUCUACAGUCACUUCUUUCAACAGAUGCAUUACCUUCAGCAUCAAAGGGAUGGUCCACGUCAGAAAACUCACUAAAUGUUAUGUUAGAAUCCCACAUGGACUGCAUGUGACCGCCUCCCAUCUCUUUAGUACAAAUUAAGCUAUUAAAACACAGAACUAUUUCCCUGAAAUUCUUGAUAGCUAUUUUGAGGUGAAAAUAAUUGUAUGAGUACUCCAGCAGCUGAAGAUUCCAGUUCCAGAAGCUUUCCUGCAAAACCAUCAAGGAAGAGAAAGGGCCUUUCUCUACAAUUUAUGGGCCAAUACACAAAGG